rnacentral:misc_RNA from 1 species
AAGACUAUAGACCUGCGGAGUACCUGCGGAAGGAUCAUUAAAAAGUUUUGCCCUUCGGGGUGAUGCGGCACGACGCCGUCGCGGUUCUCCGCGGCGGUUGAAGGCUCGAAACCCAAUGUGAAAACCCCCAAGUUGCUUCGGCAGCGCGCCCUCCGGGAUUCGUUUCCCGGCGGGCGGUCAGCCUGCCGACGGCACCCAGGAAACCCUUUCUUACUUUGUAUUAUCAACCGUCUGAACGCG